UACGUAGGUGGCGAGCGUUGUCCGGAUUUACUGGGCGUAAAGAGCGCGCAGGCGGCUGGUCAAGUCCGAUGUGAAAGCUCCCGGCUUAACUGGGAAAUUGCAUCGGAAACUGAUCGGCUGGAAGGUGGGAGAGGGUAGCGGAAUUCCCGGUGUAGUGGUGAAAUGCGUAGAUAUCGGGAGGAACACCAGUGGCGAAAGCGGCUACCUGGCCCAUUCUUGACGCUGAGGAGCGAAAGCGUGGGGAGCGAACAGG
rnacentral:rRNA from 1 species